AAUUUCGAAAUUAGGGAUUACGUGUUUGGAAAUAGUUGUUAAUUGAUCGGGUUAGUGGGUUUGAUUAGUUGAUAGCAUUAGCUGAUUGUAGAAAAGUGUUUGGUAAAUUAGUUG